UACAGAGGUCCCAAGCGUUGUUCGGAUUCAUUGGGCGUAAAGGGUGCGUAGGCGGCGCGGUAAGUCGGGUGUGAAUCUCGGAGCUUAACUCCGAAACUGCAUUCGAUACUGCCGUGCUUGAGGACUGGGAGAGGAGACUGGAAUUUACGGGUGUAAGCGGUGAAAUGCGUAGAUAUCGUAAGGAAGACCAGUGGCGAAGGCGGGUCUCUGGACAGUUCCUGACGUGAGGCACGAAGGCCAGGGGAGCAAACGGG
rnacentral:rRNA from 1 species